rnacentral:rRNA from 1 species
CAGCCGUAAACUAUGCGCGUUAGGUGUACUGGUGACCACGAGUCACCGGGGUGCCGAAGGGAAACCGCGAAACGUGCCGCCUGGGAAGUACGGUCGCAAGGCUGAAACUUAAAGGAAUUGGCGGGGGGAGCACCACAACGGGUGGAGCCUGCGGUUUAAUUGGACUCAACGCCGGGAAGCUCACCGGAUAAGACAGCGGAAUGAUUGCCGGGCUGAAGACCCUGCAUGACCAGCUGAGAGGAGGUGCAUGGCGUAGUCGUGU